rnacentral:lncRNA from 1 species
AUUUUACUCAUUUUAGUGGUUCACUGUUUGGAUCUAGGACCUUGGUCAGCAUGAGCAUUGCACUCACAGAGAGGGUGACACGUUUCCUGAUGCCUGAAAGAGAGAAAUAAGAUGGCCCAGGAGACUCCAGGGCACUCUGCCCAUUAAGCAUCUUUUUGUGAGUGAGAGGCCAUUUUUCCAGCUGUCCAUUGCAGCAUUCCACAACCCAGGCUGCUGCUGUCCAUGCUGAUUGGUGUUUGAGAGGGCAGAAUGGACCCCUGAUACCCCCUCAAUCUACUCUUCCCUUGCCCUUUAAGACCUUCUAUUUCAGGGUCCUCCCUCUGCCAGAUUGAAAGAUGACAGACUGAGGACAAGCCCUAAGGGGACAGAGAGUCUAAGGCUCCAUGUUCCAACUCUGCAAGCCCCACCUCAGCUCAACUCAACACCUUAGACCUUC